AGAUUGAACGCUGGCGGCAUGCCUUACACAUGCAAGUCGAACGGCAGCACGGGGGCAACCCUGGUGGCGAGUGGCGAACGGGUGAGUAACAUAUCGGAACGUGCCCUGGAGUGGGGGAUAACUAGUCGAAAGAUUAGCUAAUACCGCAUACGAUCUACGGAUGAAAGUGGGGGAUCGCAAGACCUCAUGCUCGUGGAGCGGCCGAUAUCUGAUUAGCUAGUUGGUGGGGUAAAGGCCUACCAAGGCAUCGAUCAGUAGCUGGUCUGAGAGGACGACCAGCCACACUGGGACUGAGACACGGCCCAGACUCCUACGGGAGCAGCAGUGGGGAAUUUUGGACAAU
rnacentral:rRNA from 1 species